UUCUGUCAUCAUCACAGAAGCAGAUGGGAACAGAUGCAGAGACCCAAAGUCAGACAUUACACACACACACACACACACACACACACACACACACACACACACACACAGAGAGAGAGAGAGAGAGAGAGAGAGAGAGAGAGAGAGAGAGAGAGAGAGAGAGAGAUUGGAACACACAGCUCUAAAUGAGAUGUCUCCAUCAAAUCUCCCCACCUCAGAAUUCAGGGAACCCCACAAGAGAAAAAUCAGAAGGAGCAGGGGUGACAGAGGGCAUGGAGAACACCAAGAAAACAAGGCCCUCUAAAACAACUGAGAAAAUCUUGUAUGAACUCACUGAAUCUGAAGCAAGAAAGCACAGGGCCUACAUGGAGCUGCACCAGAAGCCUGUUCUUUUCUAAAGAGAGACAGAAUGGGAAUGGAUCUGGAUGAGAGAGAAGCUCAAACAAAGACAGAAGAGGAGAAAUUGAGGCUGUUGCAGAGCAAAGAUCAAAGGAUACAUUUAAGGAGGCUAUGAGAAAGGAAAGCUUCUACAGAUGGACUGAAGGACAUUCUAAGUUCUAGAAAUAAUGUAGAUGGAUUGAAGAUGCCCAUGAAGCAGUAGUGCUGGUGUCUAAUGAGUUCUGCAGGGGUUUUAAGGCCAAUAAGAGUGUGAAUUACCAUAUCAAAAAACUGACCAAAAUGAAGCAAAACUAAUGCAAGAGGAUUUUAGCAGAUACCCUCAUGAACAGAUUUGGUUGCUGCAUGCAAAGAGGCAAGACCCAAUCCUUACAAGGGAAGCAGUUCUUGCAAAGGAUAAUAUGAAUGAAACUUCAGGGCCUUAAAAUCAGUCAGUCAUAAAUACAGAAUGCAUAGAGGUGAAGUGAACAGAGCCUCAUUUAUUCAGAGCCUCAUUUAUUUAGAUAGAAAAUAUAAUGUUAUUCACCCAGGCAUGGUGGAUAGGGAAUUGAGGAACUGAAAUGUAAUCUUUGUGGAAUUCCAAUGUUAUCCUUUAUGAUAUACAGAGUUUUGAAGGGAAAUGAUGAUGAUAACUCUUGAUAAGAUCAUUUUACUGUCAGUGAAUUACACUUAGAAAAUAGAUAUGUAA